UUCUUUCUUUCUUUCUUUCUUCGCUUUUAUUUUUCCUUCUCCUCCACAAAUCACUCGCAGUCUCUUGUCCAACGAUGCGGAGCCGUUUUCAGACUCAGAAUUAAAACAAAAGAAUAGCAAUCAAAGAA
rnacentral:ribozyme from 1 species